rnacentral:tRNA from 1 species
GCGGAUGUAGCCAAGUGGAUUAAGGUGGUGGAUUAUAUUGUGAAUCCACCGUGCGGGUUCAAUUCCCGUAGUUCGCC